AUUGAACGCUGGCGGAAUGCUUUACACAUGCAAGUCGAACGGCAGCACGGACUUCGGUCUGGUGGCGAGUGGCGAACGGGUGAGUAACAUAUCGGAACGUAUCCAAUAAUGGGGGAUAACUAAUCGAAAGGUUGGCUAAUACCGCAUACGCCCUACGGGGGAAAGCAGGGGAUCUUCGGACCUUGCGUUAAUGGAGCGGCUGAUAUCUGAUUAGCUAGGUGGUGAGGUAAAGGCUCACCAAGGCGACGAUCAGUAGCUGGUCUGAGAGGACGACCAGCCACACUGGAACUGAGACACGGUACAGACUCCUACGGGAGGCAGCAGUGGGGAAUUUUGGACAAUGGGCGCAAGCCUGAUCCAGCCAUUCCGCGUGAGUGAAGAAGGCCUUCGGGUUGUAAAGCUCUUUCGCAAGGGAAGAAAACUUACUUUCUAAUAAAGAGUGAGGUUGACGGUACCUUGAUAAGAAGCACCGGCUAACUACGUGCCAGCCGCCGCAGUAA
rnacentral:rRNA from 1 species